ensembl:lncRNA
CUGAGGUAAACAAAGUAGAAAACCACACUCAGGGCUGGAGUAAAGGAAAAACUGCAGAUAGAUACUGUUAUCCUUCAAGUUUCUUUAUAUUUUAUCCAUCUUUCUCUUAUUGUUCAGAAAGUGUCAGAAACUCAUUCUAAGGUUCCACAUAUGAGACAGUGGAAUGUCCAGAUGAACCGCCUUAUGAAGCCCAUCACGCCAGCAGACAAACUGAAAUGCCUGCCAGUAAAGUCCACGUUCCCCAAAUACGACAAGGCACUUACCAGCACAGAGUUCAUCACAAAGUACCAGACAAAUGUAACUCAAGAAACAGAAUUCUCAGACAGACAGCUGCUGGUCAAAGGAGAGGAAGCAGGAUCUAAGGAGCCAGUCACUGUACCUGAGACAGAAGAACUACAAAUGAAAAACAAGGAAGAAGAGCAGACCAAAGAGCUGACAUAGUCACCCACAGAGCCAGAUUAUACACAAAAUCUGUCCCAUUUACAAUCUUGUCACCUUACAGAAAAGAAUAUAUUAUGGUUAAUCAUGAAAAACUUUAAAUUAUGACAGCUCAGAAUUAGUAUUCAUUAUUACCUAUUCUUGAUAAACCAAGCCACUAGUAAGUGUUAUUAUAGUAGGUCUUAUUAGUAUGUCUACUAGGCAUAAUACCUAUUUCCUGUUUCAGGCUUUGUCAUAUACACCAGCUAUUAUAUUCAUACAGGAACAGCUGUUCCAGAGAACUGAUACUAUGAUUCCAUCAGGACUGUAAAUUAAAUGACUGGACUAUAAUAAGUCAACAGAUUUUUAAUAUUUUUAAAUGUUUAAAUCAUAUAUUGUUUGUAAUGCUUUGAAUCCAAACUUGUUUUUUCAUUUGCCUUUAUGCUUUUGUAUUGGUAUACCGGGUUGCGCUAGUGCCUGUUGUUUGUAAUUCUAUUGAUGACCAGUAGGGGAGGCAGUUGUUUUGGGAUAUAUUGUGACAUGACCUGAUAAUACCUCUUCGUGAACUUAUAAAUAUUCUCCCUAAUACAUUGGAUAUUCAGA